CCCCUCUCAGGAUCGCACCUGGAGAUUUUCCAGUACUCUACCAGUCUUGGCUUCUGGAGGGAGAGUCAAGCAGAGGCAUACAUAUUCCAUUCUUAGCUUAGGUAGUGGCUAGCGAGUGGAAGGCAAUCUGUCAAAAGU